CCGGCGCACGGGUGAGUAACGCGUAUGCAACCUGUCCGUUACAGGGGAAUAGCCCAUGGAAACGUGGAUUAAUGCUCCAUAAUAUAAUAUAGAGGCAUCUUUAUGUUAUUAAAUAUUUAUAGGUAACGGUUGGGCAUGCGUCCUAUUAGAUAGUUGGGGGGGUAACGGCCCACCAAGUCGAUGAUAGGUAGGGGUUCUGAGAGGAAGGUCCCCCACACUGGUACUGAGACACGGACCAGACUCCUACGGGAGGCAGCAGUGAGGAAUAUUGGUCAAUGGGCGAGAGCCUGAACCAGCCAAGUCGCGUGAGGGAUGACUGCCCUAUGGGUUGUAAACCUCUUUUGUAUGGGGGGAAUAAGCUUUACGAGUAGAGUGAUGACAGUACCAUACGAAUAAGCAUCGGCUAACUCCGUGCCAGCAGCCGCGGUAAUACGGAGGAUGCGAGCGUUAUCCGGAUUUAUUGGGUUUAAAGGGUGCGUAGGCGGCAUUAUAAGUUAGUGGUAAAAUAUUGGGGCUUCACCUCACUACGCCAUUAAUACUGUAGAGCUAGAGAACAGACGAGGUAGGCGGAAUAAGUUAAGUAGCGGUGAAAUGCAUAGAUAUAACUUAGAACACCGAUAGCGAAGGCAGCUUACCAGACUGAGUCUGACGCUGAUGCACGAGAGCAUGGGUAGCGAACAGGAUUAGAUACCCUGGUAGU
rnacentral:rRNA from 1 species